rnacentral:rRNA from 1 species
UACGUAGGGUGCGAGCGUUGUCCGGAAUUACUGGGCGUAAAGAGCUCGUAGGUGGUUUGUCGCGUUGUUCGUGAAAACUCACAGCUCAACUGUGGGCGUGCGGGCGAUACGGGCAGACUGGAGUACUGCAGGGGAGACUGGAAUUCCUGGUGUAGCGGUGGAAAUGCGCAGAUAUCAGGAGGAACACCGAUGGCGAAGGCAGGUCUCUGGGCAUUAACUGACGCUGAGGAGCGAAAGCAUGGGGAGCGAACAGG